UCCAGGAGACCUUCCCAAUCCAGGGACUGAACCCAGGUCUCCUGCACUGCAGGAAGAUUCUUUACCAUCUGAGCCACGAGGGAAGCUCAAGAAGCUAUUGUAAAAGGUCAUCAAGGAGCACCAGAGAUGUGUGGUCCUUUCUGAAAUGGCAGCCCACUCCAGUAUUCUUGCCUGGAAAAUCCCGUGGACCGCAGAGCCUGGUAGGUUACCGUCCAUGUGGUCGCAAAGAGUCGGACACGACUGAGCGACUUCACUUUCUUUCACUUUCACUUAGCUUCCAGAGUGCGGAGAAGGCAAUGGCACCCAACUCCAGUACUCUUGCCUGGAAAAUCCCAUGGACGGAGGAGCCUGG
rnacentral:lncRNA from 1 species